CUCACUUUUAUAGACCAACUGUGCUCUGAGAGAGACAGAAUGCCAUUUCAUUUUAUCACUUGGUUGCUAUAUUUUCAGAUUUUUUCUUUCUCCAUUUUCCACUUCUUGGUCAUUUCCUGCAGAUAAAGGGAAGUCCCCAGGCUAAGUCAGAUGAAGACUCUUGUCCUUUUUUAAUAGGGUGUCCAAGAUGACACACCCGAAGGAUACACACACACACCAACACCCCACACACAUACACACACACAUACACACACCCUCUUCUACUACACAUAUGUUCAUGCACACACAAACACGUUCCCCACACACUCACACCUCCUACACACACACCCAGAAACACACACAGAAACAAACACACCUGCUCCCACACCAACCAAAGCCAAAAGGCAUGAAAGGCUCACAGCCUUGAGCCUUGGAAAUUGAAACUUGUUCCUCCACUUAGACUUUUUCCAACAGGCAGCCUCUCCCCUCUGCCCACAGAGGAGGCCAGUGGAGCUGCCAAGUCAGCUCAAAGGUGAGCCUGGUAAAAAGCCCUCCUCUCCUGAACGAGUCAUGCCCCAUGUAGACACGGUGCCAGGGCUGUGUGGAGGAGCAAAUGUUUCUCUAAUCUCUCCAGGGAUUUUUAAUUUAAGGCAAGAGAUAAAGCAUGUGCAUGAUACUUCACCAAGUUUCCAUGGGAAAAUGCAUUGUGGGAGAUAAGCACAGUCUUGCCAGGGCUCUGGACGCUGAGAGGAGGCACAGAAACCUCCUGGCUGGGGGAAGCGUGCUGUGUGUGGUUCUGGCCAGGCUCCUGAGGAACAGGUCCCAUCUGAUGGAGGAGAAUCAAUUCAAGGAGAUGCCCUCCCUUUACAGUACACCCUUUAACAGCAUCCAGGAGGAACGAGAGGCUGCAAUGCUGAGGCUUUCAAAGUAUUUACCAGGAUGCCCAAGAACGGCCGUGAUGCCAGGCUUCUGGCAGGUUCCAGGCUCCAUCACAAGCCCAGCAUCUCUGCACCAGAUCUGA
rnacentral:lncRNA from 1 species